GGAAAGGUAGUUUAAUUUAAGAACGUCGGUUUCAUAAUCCGAAAGUAGCAGUGGUUUCUUUCUA
rnacentral:tRNA from 1 species